UACGUAGGUGGCAAGCGUUGUCCGGAAUUAUUGGGCGUAAAGCGCGCGCAGGCGGUCCCUUAAGUCUGAUGUGAAAGCCCACGGCUCAACCGUGGAGGGUCAUUGGAAACUGGGGGACUUGAGUACAGAAGAGAAGAGCGGAAUUCCACGUGUAGCGGUGAAAUGCGUAGAGAUGUGGAGGAACACCAGUGGCGAAGGCGGCUCUUUGGUCUGUAACUGACGCUGAGGCGCGAAAGCGUGGGGAUCAAACAGG
rnacentral:rRNA from 1 species